AAAUCAAAGAGAGAAAGAAAAGCUAUUGGCCUCUCCAAUUUCCGGCCGCGGGGCAAGAGAAGAAACCCAACCCGACCUCUGAUUCCCCAAUCGCCACCCCUCCUCCGCCGCCACCCAUGGCGUCCGCGGCCGCCACCUCCGCCCCGCUCCGCCUCCUCUCCUCCUCGCCCCUCUCCAGGCCGCUCCUGUCCAGGCCCCACCUCCUCACCCUCUCCCGCCCCGUCUCCUUCCAGCGCCUCGCCGCCAGGUCCGCCGCCUCCCCGACCCCCUCCACCUCCUCCUCCGCCCCCGCCCCCGUCGACCCGGCGCAGCUCCCCCCGGCGCUCAGGGACAUCAUCGCGCUCUUCCAGUCCGUGCCCGACGAGCGCACCCGCUACAAGCAGCUCCUCGCCUACGCCGCCCGCCUGCCGCCCAUGGACCCGGCGCUCAAGUCCGACGCCAACCGCGUCCGGGGCUGCGUCUCCCAGGUCUGGGUCCACGCCGCGCCGGAGGCGGAGGCCCCCGGCUGCGUCAGCUUCCAGGCCGACUCCGACGCGCAGCUCACCAAGGGCCUCGCCGCGCUGCUCGUGCUCGGCCUCUCCGGCGCGCCCGCCAGGGACGUCGCCAUGGUGCCCGUCGAGUUCAUCGAGAUGCUCGGGAUCAGGCAGAGCCUCUCGCCCUCCCGGAACAGCGGCCUGCUCAACAUGAUCAACCUCAUGAAGCUCAAGGCGCUGGAAAUCGCUGCGGGCCAGGAGGUGACUGGCGGCCAAGAAAUCCGCCAGGAGCGUACUGAAACGCCUGCCGUGGAGAAGGAGGAGCCUCAGUUUGAGGCUUUCGGUGGGCAAGCGCAUGAGAGUUCAGAGGCGGAGAGGCCUGAGGAGGAGGAAUUCGAGGAGGGACCGGCUGCUGUUGUGGAAGGAAAUGGCAGCCUUGGAGGUGGGAGGAAGGAGAGGAUAAGGGAUAGUUUGGAGAGAGGGCUUUCACCACUGGAGCUCAAGAUUGAGGACAUCUCGUAUCAACACAGUGGGCAUGCCGGGGUAGCAGGUAGCGAUGGAGAGACGCAUUUCAAUGUGCGGGUGGUGUCCAAGGAGUUUGAGGGGAAGAGCAUGCUCAAGAGACACAGGGCUGUGUAUGAUCUCCUGCAGGAUGAGCUCAAGAGUGGGCUGCACGCGCUGUCCAUCGAUGCAAAGACACCAUCUGAAGUCUAGGCAGAGCUAGUGAGCACAUGAAGAAGGUGGGCAAGGAAGAGAAGAAAGAUUUGACUAGAAGCAGUCUUCCAUCAUAAGACAAAAAGUCAAACAACCAGCUAAUCUUCUUUCAAUCCCUUUGCAUGAGAACAGUGAAAUCCUCAAUCCUUGGCUUGUCCAGACUCAUGGGCAGACCUAGUUAAAACCAAGAUGGUGUCAUCGACAUAUUGCAUCACUGAUAAUCAGUUCUUGAGGAUGAUUGUAAAAUUACUUUGAUGGGUUGGUGUCUUGGUGAUCCAUAGCUUCAUUGCAUAUUGACUGUACCAGGUUAGCAGCAAGGACAAUGAGCAGAGGAGAAAGGGGGUCUCCUUCUCUAACUCCUAUGGAACUCAUUGAGCAAUAUAGCAGGAGUGCCUUAUUUGAAGAUCAUGUGUAUCCAAAUGAGCCAUCCAGGGCCAAAAUCUUUAGCUUUGAGAAUAUCCACGAUGGUAUUGUGCUCAAUAAGAUCAACAACUUUUUCAAAACUUGACUUAACCACCAGGAUCUGUUUCUUGGAGUGAUGGCAUUGGGAUAUGUAUGUUCAUAAGCCCAGACCAAGCAGUUUUGAAUGGUUAUCUUGAUAAAAUCGUAUUCAUUAAUGUGGACCAA